CUCCCUCUUUCUCUAUCUCGUUCUCUCUCACUCGCUCUAUCUCUCGGUUCUCUCUCUCUCCUCCAUGGGUGAUGCAGUCCAAGCUUCUAAAUGGAGGCCGUUUGCUCCAUUUUUUAUGGACAGUUUAUUUAUAAAGUCAAUUUGAAGAUUGGAGACGGAUUUUCUUGAGAUUCCAAGAAGAUUAAGCUUUUGGAUUGGGCGAAUUGCAUGUGGAAUUCAAGAGCAAGAGGUUUUGGUAUUAGAGCGCGGCUUCAGAUUCCAUGAUAACUGAGCAUGUGGUUGGCGGUUUAGUUUGUAGCUUGGUAAGUUAAUGACGGUAGACUACAAGCUCGAGAUUUGAGAUGGUUUGAUUAUUUCUGAUUUCACGAUUUUUAAUUCUAUGUUGUACUGUACUUUGUGUAUGUAAACUGUAAUAGUCGGCACUGUCGCAAAGUUGUAUUAUUUUAAGAAAAAUUAUAAAUUUAUAGACUGUUUUAGUAUUAUUUGUCAAAGAAAGAUU